AGCUCAAAUUUGAAAGCCCGCGGGCGUUGUAAUUUGCAGGCGGAUGUUUUGGGGCGGGCGCUGUCUACGUUCCUUGGAACAGGACGCCGCAGAGGGUGAGAGCCCCGUGCGAUGGCGCCUCCAACCGCGUAAAACUCCGCCGACGAGUCGAGUUGUUUGGGAAUGCAGCUCCAAGUGGGUGGUAAAUUCCAUCUAAAGCUAAAUACUGGCGAGAGACCGAUAGCGAACAAGUACAGUGAUGGAAAGAUGAAAAGCACUUUGAAAAGAGAGUGAAACAGCACGUGAAAUUGUUGAAAGGGAAGGGUAUGCGAUUAGCGGCCAGCAGGAGGUGCCUUCUCGUGAAAAGGCCGUGCACCGUCUUCGGACACCGUGCGCGGAGAUGGCGAGGGGGCGCCUGAGGUCUGCGACUCGAGGUUGCUGGCGUAAUGAUUGCAUACCACCCGUCUUGAA
rnacentral:rRNA from 1 species